rnacentral:lncRNA from 1 species
CUUAGCAGCUAUUUAUGCUUGGUGUACUUACGUGAUCUUUGAAAAAAAAAACCAGCAUGAACUGAGAAAACUUUAUGACCUUUCAUUCAAAAUGAUAAUAUGCUUUUCUGUAUUCUAAUGUUCAAACAUUCAUGCGAGAGAGAAGGGGAAGGAAGAAAACAAGUGGAAGAAAUGUUCCUCUGAAAGUUAACUUUUUAAUUGGUCACUACACGUAGAAGAAGUGAAAGUCAUGACUGACCUUCUCUUAUUCACCACUUUUAUCUUGAUAGCAUUUGAAGUGAAAAUAACUGACCUGCACCUUCCCCAAGAACUGCCAACACAGUGAAUUACUGGAUUACUUUUGGGUCCAUACUGAAGCAACUAGGGGAAAAAAGAGCUCUUAACCUCCCUCCUAAGAGCAGGAAUUGGAGAACAUAAGUGAAGACUGAAAUUUUUGCCAAGGAUCACAGAUGACUGUCUUUUAUGAGGGAAUGACUGACUGACGAGUAACUACUCCCUUCUUUAGAAAGUUGCUGAGGGAGAGUAAAGUUAUAUGGCAGUGACAAAGAAAUACAUCACAGUAUGGAUAAGGGCCUCUGUAUCUUCAGAUGUUUAUUUACCACUUCCAGCCAUG